CGGCCGCCAAGUGAGUAGCACGUGGUUGAGAAACUAAAUUUUGCUUAUUAUAGCUCCAUUUAAAGGGAAAAAAAGGUAGAACGACUAAUAUCGCGGCAGUUAAUUAGACUGUUCUGUGGAAAACGUUUCUAUGAGUCAACUCUCAUUGUUUUAUUGAGCUGAGAAAUAAUUUUCGGAAACUCGAAGAAUAAACUAACCUCAUCCUCCCAUGGCAGUCCAUGCUUGCUAAAUUGGAAAAAUGUUAACUGAUCUUCCACAAACUUCGUUGCCUCCAGCGCCAUGUGCAUUUAAAGGAGUUUUACUUGGACCUAAAUUCUUAAUUUAUUUUGUUAGGUUUUACAGAAAUAUAGAAAAAUUCAUUUACAUUAAGAAAAUUCAAUUUCAGAAGUGGGUUCCAAGGCUGCCAGGAGAGGGUACGGCAUUUAGGCUGUGCCGAUUCGAUCACAGCUCAAACACAAUGAGGAUUGGUCGGUUCAUGAUCCAUAUACUAUUAUUUCUUCUGGUCAUCCUUUACUGCUUAAAUUUAUUUAUUCAUCAGGUGGAAGGAGACUGCAUUACUGAAGAAUUCUUGCUACACUCAUGGCCUUUGCAAAUUUGAAGCAUAACUGUGGUGUGUUCCCCUCAGAAAAGGAUAAGGCUAAGCCUAGCAUUAUCAGUUGAUUUGUUGGUUGAAAUUCUGCUAAGACUUCACACAUUCUGCAGCUUAGGUGCUGUAGGUGACACUUAAAGUUGAAUUUAUGCCCAGUUAUGGUACAAACUUAUGGAGAUUCACAUGUUAAGUUAGGCAUCCACCGAUAUUCGAAGUUCCGAAAAUCGAUUGGCCCAUGACCACAUCAAAAAGAAGUCGCCAGUUAUAUCCUUUGCUUCAAUGUUCAUUUGUUGGAAAACAGUAAAAAAAAAAACGCACAUCCUGGUACUGUCGUCAAAUACCUUCUUUAUGAGGAGAAAUAUUGUAUUACGAAAUGUUCAGUUGUUUUGGUCGUGAAGAUCCCUUCACUAGUAACAGAUCUAAAACUAACCUUGUCCUCCAGUGGCAAUCCAUGUCUGCGAAAUUGGAAAAAUUAACUACCUCUUUUAUUAGUGGACAAAUUGUAAUACGAAAUAAUCAACCAUACAAGUCAUGAAGAUUCCAUCUUGUAAACCAGUUAUGCUCAGCUUUUUUCCACUUCUCAUUGAAGUUAAAACCAAACUUGAUGUUGCCUUGUGGUGGAUUCAGAUUCUUGGAAAGGGUGUUAUUUUUCUUUUCCUUGAUCGGAAAAUAGAAAUUUCACUACCUAGCUGAUUGCAACCAUCUUCGGUAUGGAGCUUUAAAACCGUUUAUCGGUUAACUUUACGUCGAAGACUUGUAAACUUGCUGCUGAAGAAAACGAUAUCAGGCAUUGACAAUAUGGGUGCAACGUCUGACAUGGUUAUUGCCAAUCUGUACAAAAAUUAAGCACAACCUCGUCGGCUACGUGAGCUUCCAUGUUUGGAGCAAAUCGGAUACCCGUACACCACAUCUACUUCUAUCAGUAUGAGGAACCCCGUUAUCGUAGGAUCGAUAAUAAGGUGGACACUUUGUCAGAAGAGAGCCUGCCGCGUCUCGUCGUUACGUUGCCCUACCGUCCGUCUGGCCAGAACUGGGACACGUCCGUUUUAGUGACUAGAAGCGAGCGACUCGAACUCAUUCAGCUGGCUUACAGCUAGUUUUGUGUGAGUUUUGCAGACUUGAUUCUUACGUUUACAGCAAGUGAAUGUGUCCAUCUGAAAACGGAAAUCAGUCGUUACGAGCCCAUUCUGUUGGGCAAAGCUACACUGAAAUUGCCUCGAAGAAGUGAACAAUUGCAUGCAGAAUGAUGGAUGUUGGCAAAGGGCUACCACGGGUUAAUCCACGACUGCAUCUGAUUGUCAGCGAUGCAAAUGAGAUCGUCAUUUCGUUAAACCAGCACAGUGUCCUUGAGCUCAAAGUAAUCGGCGUUUCUGUUUAUCCGUUGCCCAAACUCACGGGGUCCGAUCUUAUCGAUUGACUACAGAAACAGUCGAAAGACAAGUCGGCGCACUUAAAUGGAUCAAGGUGAUAUCUGAUUGUUCCGUCAACUUCUGAAGCGUGUCGCGAAGGAUCUUUACUCUAAGCUCAAGAAGGUGAAUACGCGAACUUGUCAAAUGAAAUCGACUGUGAUUCAAGUGGCUUCGAUCGUUAACGGAUACAAUGUUCGAUUGCAGCAAAAUGUUGUCAAAUACGAGGCAGUCUUCUUCGAAUUUGCUUACGAGCAUCGCACCGUUGACGGAUACGAGUUGUACGAAUUGCUCAAGGAUUGCAGGUGUUGUUUCAGCACUCUUUUUUACGCCGCACGCGGAAAGGUGGUACACAGCGUUUGUGAUUUCUUGUCGGCUGUCUUUUACAUCACCGUAGCAUUUGGUAACGUAAUGUGCAGAAACUACUGAAGAUGAAUUCCGCUUCAUCGAAAAGGACAUUGGACUUAACAAAGUGGAGAAAAACGACAAAAAUGACCGUGGGAAAAUUGCCUCAAAACCCGUCAAAAAUUGACCAUCGUUGGAAUUGCUUGAAAAUGAUAAAAUAUACUC